GCCAGAACCUUAGAGGAUGAAGGCACCUGGGGUAAAUGUAGAGUUGCCUCAUUCAUUCCUGAGCUUUAUUGAUGCAAAAGCAGCAGGCUAGCUCUGGAAAGAGGACUAGCAACUUACCAAGGGAUAAGGGGGAAUGAUCUUUGCAAUAGGAAGGAUAAGACACCAAAAUGAAUAAGAGGAAAAGGAAGCCCCACAUCAUUGUGGAGGCUGUAUGUCCAGUGAACUCAGUAAAAUCUGAGAAGCUCCACCCUCACCUGAAUUUCUUCCUACAUAUUUGAGUGUUCUUCUUCAGUCUCCUUGGCUCAAGGUUCAUCUGGGUCACAAUUGUCAACCCAGGGUCCCCACCGCUAGGGCUUGACCACAGCCAGGGACGCAGGCGCUCCCAGCAUUUGGUGCCUAGACAGGGACCUGAAAGGAAGGCUUCCCCGGCAGAGUGGCCCUGGACAAGGUGGGCUCUAAACAGCCCUAGAAAAGGAGCUCCGGUCAUCAAGAGAAGACGUUAACAAGGUAGGGCGAUAAUUUUCCUAUACAGCUUUUAUUUUCACCAGGUUAAACGGGGAUUAAAAAGAAACCAGACUGCAGCUUAUCGGAGUCUCUUAAAGUGAACAUCAGAACGAGACUGCCGCUUAUCGGGGUCUCUUAAAGUGAAAGUGAACAUCAGAACGAGACUGCCACUUAUGGGGGUCUCCUAAAGUGAAAGUGAACAUCAGAACAAGACUGCCACUUUUUAGGGUCUCAGAGUUAAAGUGAAAGCAAACUGCACAGGUGGGAAAGCAAACCGCACUGGUGGAGAAACGAGACUACGGAUUUUGAGCGUCUUUAAAAGUGAAAGUAAACUUCAGAACGAGACUGCCGCUUUUCCGCUUCUCUGAUUUAAAGGGAAAGUAAGCUGCACCGGCUCAGUAGUGUACUAUAAGAUAGUUAGCUAAUAUGGGGCAGAGCUCUUAGGCAGAGCAGAGAGACAGACAAUAUUAUUUGAAAGUGUUCAAAUACAGGGGACACAACUAGAAUUUUAGCAUGCAAAUAAGAACAUUGUCUUUCUUUAAAUUGUCAACUGCAUCUUUGUCAUUUCUAUUGAGCAUAAACCAAGUGCCAUUCUGCUGCUGAAAUCUCUGCAUAAGAUACCUGUAUUGUCCAACCAUUGCAUUGCCAAGACUGUACUAAUACCAACUUUGAUUACACUAGGAAAUGGCAGUGCUCAGUCUUGGUGGUGUUGUAAUUUUCACAUAUUUACUACUUUAUUGAUUAUUGUUUAAAAUAAUAGUACUAUAUGAGAACUUAAUGAUUAUAUCUUGGAAU